CUUCCAGUAGCACCUUAGAGACCAACUAAGUUUGUUAUUGGUAUGAGCUUUUGUUUGCAUGCACAUGAAAGCUCAUACCAAUAACAAACUUAGUUGAUCUCUAAGGUGCUACUGGAAG